UACGAAGGGGCUAGCGUUGCUCGGAAUCACUGGGCGUAAAGCGCACGUAGGCGGAUUGUUAAGUCAGGGGUGAAAUCCUGGAGCUCAACUCCAGAACUGCCUUUGAUACUGGCGAUCUCGAGUCCGGGAGAGGUGAGUGGAACUGCGAGUGUAGAGGUGAAAUUCGUAGAUAUUCGCAAGACACCAGUGGCGAAGGCGGACUCACUGGCC
rnacentral:rRNA from 1 species